GGAGAAGUCGCAUAGAGGCCUAGUGCGUCCGCUUGGAAAGCGGAUACGGGAAACCGUACGUGGGUUCGAAUCCCACCUUCUCCG
rnacentral:tRNA from 3 species